UUGACCUCGAAUCAGGUAGGAAUACCCGCNNNNNNNNNNNAUAUCAAUAAGCGGAGGAAAAGAAACCAACCGGGAUUACCUCAGUAACGGCGAGUGAAGCGGUAACAGCUCAAAUUUGAAAUCUGGCUCCUUCGGAGUCCGAGUUGUAAUUUGUAGAAGAUGCUUUGGGUUGUGGGCUCGGCCUAAGUUCCUUGGAACAGGACGUCAUAGAGGGUGAGAAUCCCGUAUGUGGCCAUGGCCCGCGCCUAUGUAAAGCUCUUUCGACGAGUCGAGUUGUUUGGGAAUGCAGCUCAAAAUGGGUGGUAAAUUUCAUCUAAAGCUAAAUAUGGGCCAGAGACCGAUAGCGCACAAGUAGAGUGAUCGAAAGAUGAAAAGCACUUUGGAAAGAGAGUUAAACAGUACGUGAAAUUGUUGAAAGGGAAGCGCUUGCAACCAGACUUGGGCGCUGCCGAUCACCCCGAGUUCUCUCGGGUGCACUCGACAGCGCACAGGCCAGCAUCGGUUCGGGUGGCUGGAUAAAGGCCGUAGGAAUGUAGCUCUCUUCGGGGAGUGUUAUAGCCCACGGUGCCAUGCAGCCCAGCCGGACCGAGGACCGCGCCUUCGGGCUAGGAUGCUGGCGUAAUGGUUGUAAGCGACCCGUCUUGAAACACGGACCAAGGAGUCUAACAUCUAUGCGAGUGUUUGGGCGUUAAACCCAUACGCGGAAUGAAAGUGAACGUAGGUGAGAACCCCUUUGGGGCGCAUCAUCGACCGAUCCUGAUGUCUUCGGAUGGAUUUGAGUAAGAGCAUAGC
rnacentral:rRNA from 1 species